ACUCCUACGGGAGGCAGCAGUGAGGAAUAUUGGUCAAUGGGCGAAAGCCUGAACCAGCCAUGUCGCGUGCAGGACGACUGCCCUAUGGUUGUAAACUGCUUUUAUAUGGGAAGAAAUGCGAGUACGUGUACUUGUUUGCCGGUACCAUAUGAAUAAGCAUCGGCUAACUCCGUGCCAGCAGCCGCGGUAAUACGGAGGAUGCGAGCGUUAUCCGGAUUCAUUGGGUUUAAAGGGGUGCGUAGGCGGAAGUGUAAGUCAGGGGUGAAAGUUUGCAGCUCAACUGUAAAAUUGCCUUUGAUACUGCAUUUCUUGAGUACAUUUGAGGUAGGCGGAAUGUGUUGUGUAGCGGUGAAAUGCUUAGAUAUAACACAGAACACCGAUUGCGAAGGCAGCUUACUAAACUGUAACUGACGCUGAUGCACGAAAGCGUGGGGAUCGAACAGGAUUAGAUACCCUGGUAGCACAAG
rnacentral:rRNA from 1 species